GACGAACGCUGGCGGCGUGCUUAACACAUGCAAGUCGAACGGAAAGGCCCUGCUUUUGUGGGGUGCUCGAGUGGCGAACGGGUGAGUAACACGUGAGUAACCUGCCCUUGACUUUGGGAUAACUUCAGGAAACUGGGGCUAAUACCGGAUAGGAGCUCCUGCUGCAUGGUGGGGGUUGGAAAGUUUCGGCGGUUGGGGAUGUACUCGCGGCUUAUCAGCUUGUUGGUGGGGUAGUGGCUUACCAAGGCUUUGACGGGUAGCCGGCCUGAGAGGGUGACCGGCCACAUUGGGACUGAGAUACGGCCCAGACUCCUACGGGAGGCAGCAGUGGGGAAUAUUGCACAAUGGGCGGAAGCCUGGUGCAGCAACGCCGCGUGCGGGAUGACGGCCUUCGGGUUGUAAACCGCUUUCGCCUGUGACGAAGCGUGAGUGACGGUAAUGGGUAAAGAAGCACCGGCUAACUACGUG
rnacentral:rRNA from 1 species